rnacentral:rRNA from 1 species
UACGUAGGGACCAAGCGUUGUUCGGAUUUACUGGGCGUAAAGGGCGCGUAGGCGGCAUAUUAAGUCAGCUGUGAAAUCUCCGAGCUUAACUCGGAACUGUCAGCUGAUACUGAUGUGCUAGAGUGCAGAAAGGGCAAUCAGAAUUCUUGGUGUAGCGGUGAAAUGCGUAGAUAUCGGGAGGAACACCAGUGGCGAAGGCGACUACCUGGCCUGUUCUUGACGCUGAGGCGCGAAAGCUAGGGGAGCAAACGGG